UACGGAGGGUGCGAGCGUUGUCCGGAAUCACUGGGCGUAAAGGGCGCGUAGGCAGCGCGGAUAGUCGGCGGUGAAAGCCCGGAGCUCAACUCCGGGUCGGCCGUCGAUACUUCCGGGCUUGAGCACUGUAGAGGCAGAUGGAAUUCCGGGUGUAGCGGUGGAAUGCGUAGAGAUCCGGAAGAACACCGGUGGCGAAGGCGGUCUGCUGGGCAGUUGCUGACGCUGAUGCGCGACAGCGUGGGGAGCAAACGAGG
rnacentral:rRNA from 1 species